AUGGUGCAUUUGGCUGUUCAUCUACCUGAUGAGGCACUACUUAGAGGUCCAGUACAGUAUGGAUGGAUGUACCCUAUUGAAAGGCGGCUAGGCACUUUCAAGGGCUAUGUUAGGAUCAGAGUUAGCCCCGAGGGUUCCAUUGCAGAGGCCUACAUUGCUACAAAAGCGUUGAGAUUCUGCUCAAAAUACAUUGAAACAGCUGAUCGGCUUAGCAAAGAGGUGGGUGAAGACAAUUCCGGGCUCAAUGUUUUCGAUUAUUCUGUUCGAGUUACAGAGAAGAGUCGACAAGAGGACAAACCUAAAGAUUUGGACAAAAUCGUUUGGUAUGUGUUGAAUAACUGUCCUGAGAUACUACCUUAUAUCAACAUCUACAAAAAGGAGUUACUGCCGCAAAAUCCAAGAAACAUUGACAAACUGGUUAUGGCAGGAUUUGCGAAAUGGUUCAAGAGCCGUGUUAAGAAGAUGCAGGAGGAUGGGCAGGCAGUUGAUGAUGCCCUUUACUCACUAGCAAUGGGUCUUGAUACUCGGGUAAGACAUUAUGAAUCUUGCAUUGUUGGAGAUGUGCGCUACAACACCCUUGCACAAGAUGAAGGCAGGAAGACACAAAACAGUGCCAUCAUGAGCACGGAUACGUAUGACAAGGAGACAACUGAAAUGUAUGCUAACAUAAUAGACAUUGUUCAGUUGCAGUAUAUCUCCAGUUUUGAGGAUCAUCGGUGUGUGGUUCUAUUGUGCUGUCGUUGGUAUAACCUGUUUUCCAGGAUUGCAAAACCUAGAGCUGAUGAUUGUUUCAAAUCCAUCAAUGUCAAGGCGGCGUACCAGACCAACGAGCCCUUUAUUUUGACAAAUCAAGCAACACAGAUAUUUUUCUUGGAAGACACAUUUGCACGUAGCGAUGACUGGAGAGUAUUGCAAAGGUUUGAGCAGAGGAAUUCGUUUAAUGAAGUUGCACAACAAGAUGAUGCUUACACUGCUCUUAAUGUACAAGAUAACACAGAUGUUCCUAAUAUCUUUGAGAACCAUCAUGUCAAUGACGCCGGUGAAAAGAUUGCCUGUCAUGCUGUGGACAUACAAGAGUUGAUCAAGAAUAAGCCAACGUUCGAGAAUGUUGAGGACGAAGAAGGAGAUGACACCAUGGGGAAUUACGAUUCAGACUGA
rnacentral:rRNA from 1 species